rnacentral:lncRNA from 1 species
UGUAUCAUUACUGACGUUUAAAUUGUUUUUGCAUUAAAUGCAUUUGAAUUUUUGGCCUAUCUGCAAAUUGAGUUUGGACAUGCCGGUCUAAUGAUAAUUAAGUUGACAUUUUAAAACGGGCCAUAUAGAAAUAGUUUAUAAAAGGUCAGAAAUUGAUUGUUGACGCUGACAAUAUAUACGUUUUAGCAACAAAAGAGACAAAAUAUCAUACACUGAAAGGUAUGACCCAAUAACUUGAACCCAACUAUCUUCAUCCUUUAUUCAAUAUAAAGCGUCUUUGUUAUAUCCACAUAAUAUUGCCGAAAAAAGGAGAGAAACUUCAGAAAAGGG